AAAAUCUAAUAGUGCCUAUCACUAUUGAUGCACUUCAAUGAUUUGAAUCACAUAAUCAGCUAAACAAACAAGAAAAGCAGACUACAAAGUGUUUUCAGCCAGUUUCUUGCUAUUCAUCAGCGCACCAUAAAGUUGCAAAGAAGAAAUGAAACACAGAAAAGGACCAGAAGAAGGAAUUCUGGUAAAACGAUAAAGCUCUUUGUACCACAAAAGGAAAACCAAAAGCAAUAACAACUGACAUUCAUGGAUGGUUUACUAAGAGAAAUUUACCUGGUGCAAUUCCAU
rnacentral:misc_RNA from 1 species